GGGGAUGUAGCUCAGUGGUAGAGCAUUUGCCUAGCAUGCAUAAUGCCCUGGGUUCGAUGCCCAACACCA
rfam:Heterocephalus glaber contig66525, whole genome shotgun sequence.